rnacentral:rRNA from 1 species
CCUACGGGAGGCAGCAGUGGGGAAUAUUGCACAAUGGGCGCAAGCCUGAUGCAGCAACGCCGCGUGAGGGAUGACGGCCUUCGGGUUGUAAACCUCUUUUAGUAGGGAAGAAGCGAAAGUGACGGUACCUGCAGAAAAAGCACCGGCUAACUACGUGCUAGCAGCCGCGGUAAUACGUAGGGUGCAAGCGUUGUCCGGAAUUAUUGGGCGUAAAGAGCUCGUAGGCGGCUUGUCGCGUCUGCUGUGAAAACCCGGAGCUCAACUCCGGGCCUGCAGUGGGUACGGGCAGGCUAGAGUGCGGUAGGGGAGAUUGGAAUUCCUGGUGUAGCGGUGGAAUGCGCAGAUAUCAGGAGGAACACCGAUGGCGAAGGCAGAUCUCUGGGCCGUAACUGACGCUGAGGAGCGAAAGCAUGGGGAGCGAACAGGAUUAGAUACCCUGGUAGUCCAUGCCGUAAACGUUGGGAACUAGAUGUAGGGCCUGUUCCACGGGUUCUGUGUCGUAGCUAACGCAUUAAGUUCCCCGCCUGGGGAGUACGGCCGCAAGGCUAAAACUCAAAUGAAUUGACGG